rnacentral:rRNA from 1 species
UUUACCUACGGGGGGCAGCAGUGGGGAAUAUUGGGCAAUGGGCGCAAGCCUGACCCAGCAACGCCGCGUGAAGGAAGAAGGCUUUCGGGUUGUAAACUUCUUUUAUUGAGGACGAAACAAAUGACGGUACUCAAUGAAUAAGCCACGGCUAACUACGUGCCAGCAGCCGCGGUAAUACGUAGGUGGCAAGCGUUGUCCGGAAUUACUGGGUGUAAAGGGAGCGCAGGCGGGAAGCCAAGUCAGCUGUGAAAACUACGGGCUUAACUUGUGGACUGCAGUUGAAACUGGUUUUCUUGAGUGAAGUA